CAGGAUUCAAACAGAUCUCCCCCUUGUUCCGUGAAAGCUCUCGCUUGCGAAUGAAGUCAAGCGGCUCUCGUUGGCAGACGACAGGCUUCUUGCAUGACUUCACCGCCGCGGCCUCGUGAUUGGCGGGUUGUGCAGCGUUACCGUUGUUGCCAUGGCAACAGCUCUGAACGAGUGGCUGCGCGGUUGCCAAGGGUACGGCCGAGCCGGGACGUCCCGCUAAGGAGAUAUGGAAGACCUGAUGCCUAGCCCAUCUUCUCCCGAAAGCUUGGCUAUCCAAGAGAAGUUCUCGCUCCCCCCCACUGCGAGAAAGCAUAGUAAAAUGUCGAUGACAGGAUGCAAACUACAUGCCGAUGUCUUACAUGGUGGAUACCAAUGCCGUUCUCCCUUUGCUUCUUUUCGAAGAUAGCGUCAACCACAAGCCAGUCCACAAUCCGCAGGCCGCUGCAGAGGCGUGACGAAUUGCGUG